GAUGAAGAACGUAGCGAAAUGCGAUAAGUAAUGUGAAUUGCAGAAUUCAGCGAAUCAUCGAAUCUUUGAACGCACAUUGCGCCCGUCAGUAUUCUGGCGGGCAUGCCUGUUCGAGCGUCAUUACGCCCCUCAAGUCCCCUGUGGACUUGGUGUUGGGGAUCGGCGAGGCUGGUUUUCCAGCACAGCCGUCCCUUAAAUUAAUUGGCGGUCUCGCCGUGGCCCUCCUCUGCGCAGUAGUAAAACACUCGCAACAGGAGCCCGGCGCGGUCCACUGCCGUAAAACCCCCCAACUUUUUAUAGUUGACCUCGAAUCAGGUAGGACUACCCGCUGAACUUAAGCAUAUCAAUAAGCGGAGGA
rnacentral:misc_RNA from 1 species